ACUAUAAUUGCCAAAACAAACCCUAACACAUGCACUUCAUAAGGUUCAAGGUAUAUUAACACAAUCUUACCCAGGAUUUUAUCUAACACAUUUACAUCCUUCUUUCUACUAUACUAACCGUAACUUUAUGUUUAUGCGUAACCACUCUAUCUUAUACCUAACACUUAGACAUGUUAGAUUUCCAGUUUCAUCACCUGCACAGCUCUUCAGCUUUUUAAAGUAAUUUCUCUACCCGUUCCAGUAUAUAACACUCUAAAGCAUGCAACUAAACUACUUGAUUUACCAGAUUUCUUUGCUCUUACCCACA
rnacentral:lncRNA from 1 species